CCCCAUUGCAUCUUUUAUUUUCCCUUCGGCGCCGGCAGAGAAAACCCCAACCCCCAGCGAUACCGCCGCUCUCCCUCUCUCUCUCUCUCUCUCUCUCUCCGAUCGACACUCCUCUGGUCUCUGGCCUUCUCGAUCUCACUCUACCGAAUCGGCAUACCAUGUGUUUGGCUGUUCUAUCUCUACUGGUAUUCUCUCUCUCUCUCUCUCUCUCUGUUCUAUCUCUACUGGUAUUCUCUCUCUCUCUCUCUCUCUCUCUCUCUCUCUGUGGUCAGCAGAUAUGUGGUAGUGAAGGAGUUGCGGGUUCAUUGAUGGCUGUUAUGGAUCUGUGGUGCGGAAGCGAAGGACGGCCCAACCGGUUGUUGGUGCUCUCAACCUAAAGGGUUCUGAAUCUAUCUCCCGUCCAUAUCAGCAUUCUCUGUCUCUGGGGUUCGACGCUCCCCUCACCGCUGGGACUAUCCACUAAUUUGUUAUAUGGAGAGAUUCCAUUCUCAAUAUCUAAGCUUAAGCAACUUGAGCUACUAAAUUUGAAGAACAAUCAAUUGACUGGCCCUAUCCCUUCAACAUUGACGCAGAUUGCCAACCUGAAAACGCUGUGAGUUCCCUUUUUCCUGGUGGAGUCUAUUCAUUUCUAUCAUCAAGGCUUUGGACCAUUUUAAUAUAUUCUCUGAAUGUGUAAAUUAAAAACAACCGUUUAUGUAAUAGAAUCAAAAUUAUGCUAAUUUCUGUUAUGGCUUUGUGGAUAUAUACUUUAAUGAUCUUGCUCGAAACCAGGGCUUUUUCUAUCAGAAAACGCUCCUCUCAUGCGUAAUUUCUUUUAUAAUAGAGCCAGGGCUCUUUUGUCAUGUUGGUGGAGGUCCGCGGGGUUUGUUGUCAUUGCUUUAUCUGGUGUACUCUCAUCGGCUUGAUUGGGGUACCAAUACUUACCUUUGUCAUUGUCUUAUGCCUUGGGUUUGUAUUUCUAGUGGAAAUUGGGGAAGUGUGUGAAGCUCCUGGUAGCAAGACUGUUGUUUAGGCCAAGUGGUUGAUAUUUGGGCUGAGGAGUGUGUUGUGGCUAAAAAUAAUGCCGAUAGCAAUUUUAAGCAGCCAAAGGUUGGCCUUCUAUCAAAGAUACUGAGUGAUUGAAUCUACCUUGAAUCCUUAAUAUACGCUUGUACAUCUAUUGGCUUAUAGUUUUUUGGCUGAUUAAACUCUACUUUUAUUCCUUUCUAAUGGCUGCAUAGAAGCAUAACAGAGGGAUUAUUAUCAUCUUGUCGUGAAUAGAAUUGAUCAUAAUAUUAUAUAUGGAAUGGUCUUGGUGAGAUUUUACUAAUGUCAAGAUGUACAUCUAAUUAACAGUAAUGAUUUUUUGUUGCUUUUUCUAACUUCUUAUUGUGCUGGUUUCAUUGUUUUAAAAUUGGGAACAAAAUACUCACUCUGUGGGGGACCAAAUACCUUUUCGGAGUUGCGACUGUUUUAGUUUUCAUAUGCUCAUCCAAUGUCCCUUCAUUUUUGCUUCAUUGAUAUCAAAAUGCCGAUGGUCUUUGGUUUGAAAGUUUUGUUUCUAUAAGUUCACUUGAAAAUCCUGGGCACUAUACUUAAAAGUUAAGUUAGAACAAAAGCUUAAAGUUUUCUUCCUUCACUUGUAUAUCUCUUGGUUACUACUUUGUUGAUUCUUUCUCAGUUUAAACUAAUUUCCUUUUUGCAUAUGAUUCUUAGGGUAUCCGGGACCCUCAUCAAAGUGUGGUAGAAGCAAUACUAUAGUUCCAUGGUUGAAGAAUUUUUUUUUUUGCUGAUAAUGAUGUUUUGCUGGUAAUAAUGGUUUUUGGAUCACUACAAGAAAAAGGGGAAUACGCAGCAGUUUGUUUCCGGCGUUUGUACAAAACCCAGGUAAAGUCCAAAAGUGACUAUAGCGGAGCAGAGGCCUCCGUGCUAAAAUUACACUAUCCCCCUUUUAUGUUAUUUGUCAUUAUCUGUUUGUUGACUCUAAUUGUUCCUCCGGGGGAAAUAUGGUGGAUGCCUUUCGAAUGCAUGUUCCUCCAGGAGGUUUUGGUUUCUAAAGAGACCACCUCCUUGAAUUUAAAUCCAGAGGGUCCAAGCCAACUCUACAAAGUUGUGUUGGCCGGUUCUCAAGAGUAUGCGUUGGCUCGCCAAUCUUUAAGUUAUAUUGUUUGACUCUCCUCGUUGGAUUUCCAUUGUUUAAUAGCUUUUGGCGGCUUGCUGUGUCAAUUGCACUGUGGUCAAAAUAGGACGCAUUGGUACUUCAAUGAAUGCGUCACAAAGGCUAUGUCAAAGCAGCAUCUAUGGUUGAACUAUGUCGAUAAAAUGAAUCUGUGAAGGACUCCUAGGAUAUACUACUUUUGUUUAGUAAGCAGUGCACGUUAAAGCGGUCCUUGCAUUAUAGCAUUGACCUUUUUAGACAGAGAAUCUUCAAAAUAAGCAUCCAUCUUUGGUUUGUGAAUUGUCACGUGUUUCUUGUACGCAUACUUUGGUUGCUUAUAAAUGUUUGGUGAUUAUAGGUAGUGUUUUGUGAUGUGAUGUGACUGGGAAAAUUCUGAUGAAAUGCUUUCUUUCUGGAAUGCCUGAUUUGAAGUUGGGUUUAAACGGUAAAAUUGGCCUUGAGAAAGAGUCACAACUUAAGUCUCGUCCCACUAAGAGGUAAAUUCUGAGGGCUUACUAUUUUUCGCUCCCAUCCUGUAUUCGCUUGUCUGUGUACAUCUUGGAAGUUAAUAUAGUUCCCUACUUCCUUUGAGAAACUUGUAGAAACUAGACAUGCUGACACGUAUGUUCCUUUUCAUAAUUUUUUCUGUUGAAGAAAUAACUUUGUUAAUGCACACCUUCUGGGAAGAAAUAACUUUGUUGAUGCAUUCCUGGCCUGAUAAAAACAUGUAUUCUAAGAAAUAUGUUGCUAGGUGAGCUGCUAGCAUAACAGUUGUAUAUGUAAGUUAAAAUGUUCCAUCUGAACUAAGCCUGACUUCUAGGUGCGUGGGUUUUAGCUUUGAUGCUUAACUUCUAAGUUUACCGUUUGAACUGCUGGAUUUGUAGCUUUAACUUCUCAAUUUGUCACUUUUUGUUUGUUUGUGAUGAGUUAGUGCAUAGUAUUCUUCUGCCAGCUGCAGGCCAAACAUGAGGAAGGUGCAACUAGUGGGAGAUAACCAGAGAUUGAGGUGGGUCUGAUUUCAUUUUAAGUGCAAUUGUGGUACAUCUCUGCAACAUAAGGAAGUACAUUCUUUGCUUUGGUACUGUAACAUUUAUUUGUUUGUUUUCUUAUUUCAAGAGAAGGUUACAUGGAACUCUUUUACAAUGCUAGGUGACGAACUGCUUUAGUGGUUGGAGAUGCUUGAGAAACAGAUGAUCGGGAGAAUGUGUUUGAUAAAGGCGCGCGGGAUACUGUUUAUUUUGGGGACUUAGUGUUUAUUUUCUUCGACUUGUUUGUCCUUUUUUUCCUUGACUGUAUUUUAUUGAGUAUGGUUACAUAUGAACAUGAAUUUGGAUUGCGAAAGUAUGAAUUAUUGUUUCUUUUUGCUAGUAUAUGGAUUCUAAAGUUUUGUUGUUUGGAUAUCAAGCAGCAUUCUUGUAGAUUU